AGUUGGCCAGCUCCUAGUUCCAGUCUUCAGCUUCAACUCUCAGGACCUGCUUUAUAAGAAAUCUCUGCCUCAAAAGAAAUGCUCUAACCAACAAAGGCCUGUCCAGCCUCUGUGUGAAUACUGCUAGAGAGCUUGCUGAUACCAGAAGGACUGGCUGCAGGACUCAGUAUUUCUGACAGAACGAUGUUCACAUACUGAGUCAUCCUUGAGCAUUUGGCAGAACAGAUUCCCACUCACAAGAGAAGAGAGAACUGGAGAAUAUCCGUUGAUUUUGUUUGCUUAGCAGCCCU